CGGUGAGCAAAUAGAGAACGGAGCUCCCCUCCAUGGCGAUAUCUUGGAGGAGAUCAUCUCCCACGUAUUCUCUCUCGACCUCGUCCCCGCGUCACACGUUUCCAGAUCAUGGCGAAGCGCAGUCGCCUCGUUCCUCCGUCGCUCCUCUCGCCGCCGCCUCCCGUGGCUCAUCCUCCACCUCCGGAGCCGCCGGUGCGUCACUAUCCUCGCCUACGACCCUCAUUCCAGCGCCUGGAUUUCAGUCCUCCCAUCGGCGGCCCUACCCGCUGCUUCCUUCCACUCCUCCCACCCAGGCCUCCUCCACGCGCUCUCCCCCACCGAGUUGGCAUUCUCCAUCGACGCCUUCAGUGCCACGUGGAGACGCCUCCGUGGCCCCGGUCUCUGGCGGGAGGACCCCGUCGUGGCGCUGGUGGGUUCUACCCUUAUCGUCGCGGGCGGAACCUGUGACUUCGAGGGCGAUCCACUUGCUGUCGAGUCGUGCAACGUCAAUCUGGGCACGUGGGAAGCGUGCGAGCCUAUGCCGGAGGCGUUCAAGUGGUCGGCGUCUGCUACGUGGCUUUCCGUUGCCGCCGGGGAGCGGGAGCUGCAUGUGCUGGAGAAGCGAGAGGGGCUGCUCUGUUCGUUACACACGGACACUAAGCGGUGGGGCCCGGUUUACCAACUGAGCUUGCAGCCAGACUUGUUCGUCACUGCCAUAGGGCUCGCCGGAGAGCGGCUAAUCCUCGUCGGCGCGGCUGGUGAGGCCACCGAUGUGGAGUCUAUUAAGGUGUGGGACGUACGUCGUGAGUUGGGUGGCGGUGUGGAGCUGAGAGAGAUAGGGGUGAUGCCGGCGGAGAUGGUGGGGAGGUUGGUCGGCGAUGGGUGGGGGUUGUCGUCGUCGAUUGGGUUUUCUGUU
rnacentral:misc_RNA from 1 species